GCUCCGGUGGCAUAGUGGUUAGAGUAUCCACCUCUGAUGCAGGAGGUCAUGGGUUCGAUCCUCAGUCAAGUGAUGCC